rnacentral:lncRNA from 1 species
GUCCCGAGGCUACACCACGGGCCGGCGGGCCGACAGCGGCCCCAGGGCGGCGUCCCUAAGGUAGUGCCCCGGGCUCCGCAGCCGGGCGGCGGGAGGGCGCGCUGGGGGGGGGGGGGGCGCCCCGGGUUCCCCCGCGAACACCUCGGUCCCCGGGGCUGCGAAGGUGCUCCGCGGGGGCCCUCGGGGCCGCAGCUCCGCUCCAGGACCCUCCUCGCCCGGAGGGGAGCGCCGGCGCCCCGCGGACGAGCCGCAGGCACGAGCCCAGACUUUGCCGCAAACUUUCAAUCAGCUGCACCCCCGCCCCCCCGGCUGCAGCGGGCCGGAGCCCCCGGCCGGGCCCUCCUCGGGCGGCCCCCCGCCGCCCCCGCCGCCCCCGCCGCCCCGCCCGGGGCACCAGGGGCGCCAGCCGCGACCCCGGCCGGGCCCCAGGAAGCACACACCUCAGCUCGCUCCUCCGGCGCUAGGGCUCCGCGGCGCGCUCCGUCCCUCCGGCGGGGCGGAGUCUCCGCUCCCCGCGCCCCGCGCCCCCGCCCCCGCGCCCCCGCCCCGACCCCGCCCGGCCCCGACCCCGCCCCGACCCCGCCCGGCCCGCGGGACGCGGAAGCGGAGGCGGGGCCCGGCCUGCGGCGUCGCCAGCGGCCCGCGGGCCCCGGGUCCCCGCCGCCCCUCCCCCGCCCGCAGCCCAGGCCCGACAGCCCGCGCCGGGGACCACGGCGCACGGGUCGGGUCGCCCCCGCCCUCCUCACCCCUCCCCCCGCCCCUCCCCCCGCCGCCCACCCCCCGGCCGGCCUCUUGCCCGCCGCGGCCCUCCCCGCCCCCCCCGCGGCCUCCCCAUCCUCCCUCCUCCCUCCUCCCCCCGCGGCAUGCCCUCCCCUCCCCCCUCGCCGCUCCCCUCCCCUCCCCCCGCGGCCCUCCCCGCCGCCCCCCGCCGGCCUCCCCCCUCCCGCCCCCCCGCGGCCUCCCCUCCCCCCGCGGCCUCCCCUUCCCUGCCCCCCUCGCCGCUCCCCUUCCCUCCCCCCUUCCCUGCCCCCCUCCCCUCCCCUCCCCCCGCGGCCUCCCCCGCCGGGGAGAGCGGAGCCGCUCGGCCUCCUGCACGCGGGCGGGCCUGCUCACCUGAGGCCGCGUCGCCCGCCCCCGCACGUGGCUUCCCCCGUCAGCACAGGGGCCUCCCUGGGCCUAGAAACGCCGCGAGCCCACGGGGUGGGGGGGGCCGGCGACCUGGCGGACCUGGCGGGGGAGCCGCCCGGAGGCCCGGCCCGAGCGCCCGGAGGUGGGAGGCCCGCGCCGGCCGCGGCCCAGCCUCACCCAGGUGGGGGCCGGCCUCGCAGAUGCACCCCUAAAGCCGCCCCUGCCCACUGA